UGACCCAGGUUCCUCAAGAGAAGAUAUCAUCACCUCUUUUUCUCAUUUCUGCCUCUCCAGCACAGCACCACCCCAGGAUCUGAAAUGAAUUUGACACUUGGAUAUCAGCCAUUCGAGAGCUUCCAUUGUCUCAUCUGUAGAAGACUAAACAUCCUGAACAUUUGUGCUAAGGAGUCCAUGAGAUAGUGUCCUUGGUGAGUUAUCCCAGACAUCUGUCUCUGAAGAGGAAGUUGGAGGAUGAAGGGUAGAGAUUUCUCUUUUCUAAGUUUAAUGAUGAG